GCAAGUCUGGUGCCAGCAGCCGCGGUAAUUCCAGCUCCAAUAGCGUAUAUUAAAGUUGUUGCCGUUAAAAAGCUCGUAGUUGAACCUUGGACCUGGCUGAUCUGUCCUCCUAAUCGAGCGUACGGAUUCGGUCGGGUCUUUCCUUCUGGGGAACCCUAUGUCCUUCAUUGGGUGUAGUGGGGAACCAGGACUUUUAC
rnacentral:rRNA from 1 species